GAGGAGAAGGGGAGAGCAUCGCGGAGGCGGAGCGGAAGGGGUGUGUUGGUCGCUCCCCGUACCAAGGUCUAGCCCGUAACGGUACCUCUCGUCCUCGCCGGCCUGCCAACCCGACUUCCUCAUCCCCUCCGGACGCCACCCCCCUUCCUCGUCGUUCGGACUCUACUCCUCUUCGGCCGCUACCGCUAUUCUUCGUGGCCACCGUCGCGAGGCAGGCCCGCCGGGAGAGGUAGAAGGGACGUCGAGGUACUUGCUACUGCCCGUCCUCCUCAUCCGGCUGGGACCAAACAGUAACUCCGGGAAAACUGCGGCGCCCGGUACCCUAAGGCGGGAAGAGUUGGGCUCCCGCGGAGGGGAAGGGGUGGGUACCGAAGGUCACUUCGAGCCGAUGUCGAAUGAAGUCCCCCGGGGAGGUACCACGAGCAGCUAGACCUGUUCCCCUCGUCGUCGCUGUCGGGGAAAGAAGCGUGCGUUGUCGUCUAACGUCAGUGUUACUGUUCGACAGGCUGGUACAGACGUUCCGGUUUCGUCUUCUCAACUUCCUCUAGAAUACCAUUCUUCUUUUUAUUUACGAUGUUAGGGAGAAAACCAAACAUAGCAAGUCAACAUGAAACUGAGGUACAAAAGAAGUUAAGGACACUACUAUCCUAGUUCCAUUCAUACCUCUCUCUUUCCAACUUCUGCACGUUACCUUUUAACAAUAAUCUGAACGAAUUCUUAACGGAAAAACAAUAAACUAAUGAACCGUACGAAUUUGGGUCAUUGAGCUAAGAGAGAUUUGCGAGGAUUCGGAAACACUCCACAAUGAACUCUAGAAGAUAGAAUUGGUUCUUAACUUCUUUCGUACUCUGUGUUGGUUCUUAAAUAAAAUGUGGUGUGGAAACGACAGUAAAUAAAACGAGCCACCCGGACGGUCUGUAGUUCUGAUAAAUAUACAAGACAUCAAUAAAGUUCUCAAAAAACAUCCUCAAACUUACCGUAUCAGAGGGAUAAACACACACGCACACACGCGCGCGCGUGCACACACAAGCAGCGACGCGUAGAAACGGCAAGGUCGACGAGACAAAGUGAGAUUUGUGGUACUUCAAAUAAAGUCCGAUCUUAUACACAACAGUAAGAAAAAAAAUUACUCAAAGAACUCAACUAGAUUGGACUUGGAACUCUCAAGAUUGAACUGGUACGUCUCAAUCGUUUGACUUUCUAACACUCUUCUACAUUCAACCGUAGAAGCUCAACGAAGGUCACAGAUUUAAAGUUAUCCGAUCUUGAAACUACCUAUCAACAAUCACACUAAGAUACCUAUGUCUCGUGUCCAAGUUAAAUUUCCUCCGUGCUCAAUCACCUUCGGUACAGCUUUUUUUAAACUCGGAUGCUAUUAAGUACUUUAAAAUAAUACUUCGUGAAUAAACUUUGUAUUAGACGAACUAACGGGGGAUAUAUCAAACUAAAUUCGAUACUUAGGUAUGACUAUGACUUUAUACUUACGGGAGAAACCGACUAUUCC
rnacentral:rRNA from 1 species